AAAACAGCGUUGGAGAUGCACGGAGCGGAGCUGGCAGUGACAGACUCUGGCGAGGCAGGAGCAAACUGUUCCUUAGAACUGGGGAGGAAACUAGGAGUUGCCUUCCGCGUUUUGCCAAACUGGAAAGCCGCAGCCUGUGUGGAAUCGUUUAUCUUGGAUCAGGAUGAUCUGGAAAACCCAAUGUUGGAAACAGCUUCUAAACUGCUUUUGUCAAGUACUGCUGAUGGUGCUGACUUGAGAACAGUAGAUCCAGAAACCCAGGCAAGAUUAGAAGCUUUACUUGAAGCUGCAGGAAUAGGUAAGCUGUCUACAGCUGAUGGUAAAGCAUUUGCAGAUCCUGAGGUGCUUCGCAGACUGACGUCUUCGGUCAGUUGCGCUUUGGAUGAAGCUGCCGCUGCGCUUACCCGGAUGAGAGCAGAAAGCACAGCAAAUGCAGGGCAGACGGACAACCGCAGCUUGGCAGAGGCUUGUUCAGAAGGAGAUGUAAACGCUGUGCGGAAGUUGCUAAUUGAAGGCCGAAGUGUGAACGAGCACACAGAAGAAGGGGAAAGCCUCCUUUGUCUAGCCUGCUCAGCAGGGUAUUAUGAGCUUGCACAGGUUCUUCUGGCGAUGCAUGCUAAUGUGGAGGACCGUGGUAUUAAAGGAGACAUAACACCUUUAAUGGCUGCUGCUAAUGGCGGACAUGUCAAAAUUGUCAAGUUGCUGCUAGCUCAUGGUGCUGAUGUGAACGCACAGUCAUCAACAGGCAAUACAGCCCUUACGUACGCCUGUGCUGGAGGCUAUGUAGAUGUUGUGAAAGUACUGCUGGAGUCAGGUGCCAGUAUCGAGGACCAUAACGAGAAUGGUCACACUCCCCUGAUGGAAGCGGGAAGUGCCGGCCACGUGGAAGUGGCCAGAGUGCUGCUGGAAAACGGAGCAGGCAUAAAUACGCAUUCCAACGAGUUCAAGGAGAGCGCGCUUACGCUGGCCUGUUACAAAGGCCAUCUGGAAAUGGUGAGAUUUCUGCUGGAAGCUGGUGCAGACCAGGAACACAAGACAGAUGAAAUGCAUACUGCUCUCAUGGAGGCUUGCAUGGAUGGCCAUGUGGAAGUGGCGAGGUUACUUCUUGACAGCGGAGCUCAGGUGAACAUGCCUGCUGACUCUUUUGAGUCUCCAUUGACUUUGGCAGCCUGUGGUGGGCAUGUCGAGCUGGCAGCUUUGUUAAUUGAACGUGGAGCCAACUUGGAAGAGGUGAACGAUGAAGGCUACACACCACUCAUGGAAGCAGCUAGAGAAGGUCAUGAAGAGAUGGUGGCGCUGUUACUUGGUCAAGGAGCAAACAUCAAUGCUCAAACAGAGGAGACGCAAGAAACCGCAUUAACUCUGGCUUGCUGUGGAGGUUUUUUGGAGGUUGCGGAUUUUCUUAUUAAAGCAGGAGCUGACAUAGAACUUGGCUGUUCCACACCUUUGAUGGAGGCUGCUCAAGAGGGUCAUUUGGAGCUCGUUAAAUAUUUAUUAGCUGCAGGGGCCAAUGUGCAUGCAACAACAGCCACGGGUGACACAGCACUGACAUAUGCCUGUGAAAAUGGCCAUACUGAUGUAGCAGAUGUCUUACUUCAGGCAGGCGCGGAUCUGGAGCAUGAAUCAGAAGGUGGAAGGACUCCUCUCAUGAAAGCUGCAAGGGCAGGUCAUGUUUGCACUGUUCAGUUCCUGAUUAGCAAAGGAGCAAACGUGAACAGGACGACAGCUAACAACGAUCAUACGGUUCUGUCGCUGGCCUGUGCUGGAGGUCACUUGGCAGUCGUGGAGUUACUGCUAGCUCAUGGUGCUGAUCCUACACACAGACUGAAGGAUGGUUCAACUAUGUUAAUAGAGGCAGCAAAAGGUGGUCAUACCAGCGUGGUUUGUUAUCUGCUAGAUUACCCAAACAACUUGCUUUCUGCUCCUCCACCUGAUGCUACUCAGCUGACCCCACCAUCCCAUGAUUUAAAUAGGGCUCCUCGUGUACCAGUGCAGGCGCUGCCCAUGGUCGUCCCACCCCAGGAGCCUGACAAACCCCCUGCUAAUGUCGCCACAACCCUUCCCAUCAGAAAUAAAGCGAGGAUGACUGGAAGAAACUGGGCACCUCCACUGACUCAGAUCCUGAGUUUUGAUUUGCCUUUCGCCCUUCAAAAUUUACCGAUUGUUCCUUCUCCAACCGCUGCUUCUAAACAAAAGUCCAGCAGUCAUUUGCCAGCAAACAACCAGGAUGUACAGGGUUACAUCACCAAUCAGUCUCCAGAGAGCAUUGUAGAAGAGGCUCAGGGCAAGUUGACAGAGCUGGAGCAGAGGAUAAAAGAAGCCAUAGAGAAGAACGCUCAGCUGCAGUCCCUGGAAUUGGCACACGCUGACCAGCUCACCAAAGAGAAGAUUGAGGAGCUGAACAAAACGAGAGAGGAACAAAUUCAGAAGAAACAAAAGAUUUUGGAGGAACUGCAGAAAGUGGAGCGCGAGUUACAGCUGAAAACUCAGCAGCAGCUAAAAAAGCAAUAUCUAGAGGUAAAGGCGCAAAGAAUUCAGCUCCAGCAGCAGCAGCAGCAACAGUCUUGCCAGCAUCUGGGACUACUGACUCCUGUUGGGGUAGGAGAACAACUCUCAGAGGGAGACUAUGCACGAUUACAGCAAGUGGACCCCAUCUUGCUUAAAGAUGAUCCUCAGCAAGCUGCUGCGCAGACGGGUUUUGCACCAAUUCAGCCUCUGGCGAUGCCACAAGCUUUGCCUCUGGCAGCAGGUUCCUUACCUCCAGGGUCCAUCGCAAAUCUUACAGAACUGCAAGGUGUUAUAGUUGGACAGCCAGUAUUGGGCCAAGCACAACUAGCAGGGCUGGGGCAAGGAAUACUGACAGAAACACAGCAAGGGUUAAUGGUAGCCAGCCCUGCUCAGACGCUCAAUGACACGCUGGAUGACAUCAUGGCAGCAGUGAGCGGAAGAGCAUCUGCAAUGUCAAACACUCCUACCCACAGCAUUGCAACUUCUGUCUCCCAACCUCAGACGCCAACUCCGAGUCCUAUCAUUUCUCCUUCGGCCAUGCUACCAAUCUACCCUGCUAUAGAUAUCGAUGCGCAGACCGAGAGUAAUCAUGACACAGCAUUGACCCUUGCUUGUGCCGGUGGCCACGAAGAACUAGUGCAAACGCUGCUGGAGAGAGGAGCUAAUAUCGAACACAGGGACAAGAAAGGGUUUACUCCGCUUAUUUUGGCUGCUACAGCUGGCCACGUGGGUGUUGUUGAAAUUUUACUGGAUAAUGGAGCCGAUAUCGAAGCCCAGUCUGAGAGAACCAAGGACACUCCCUUGUCUUUGGCCUGUUCAGGAGGGAGACAAGAGGUGGUGGAGUUGCUGCUAGCUCGAGGGGCAAAUAAAGAGCACAGGAAUGUUUCUGAUUACACACCUUUAAGCCUCGCCGCUUCUGGUGGCUACGUGAACAUUAUCAAGAUUCUGCUAAAUGCUGGGGCAGAAAUAAAUUCCAGAACUGGUAGCAAAUUGGGCAUUUCUCCCUUAAUGUUGGCAGCCAUGAAUGGGCACACGGCUGCUGUCAAGCUGUUACUGGACAUGGGCUCUGAUAUAAAUGCCCAGAUAGAGACCAACAGGAAUACAGCGCUGACGCUGGCUUGUUUCCAAGGGAGAACUGAAGUGGUUAGCCUGCUGCUUGACAGAAAAGCUAAUGUGGAACACAGAGCCAAGACUGGUCUCACGCCGUUAAUGGAAGCAGCUUCUGGUGGAUAUGCGGAAGUGGGCAGAGUUCUGCUGGACAAAGGUGCAGACGUAAAUGCUCCUCCAGUACCUUCCUCAAGAGAUACAGCUUUAACCAUUGCAGCAGACAAAGGGCACUACAAAUUCUGUGAGCUUCUCAUUAGCAGAGGAGCUCACAUUGAUGUGCGUAACAAGAAGGGGAAUACUCCUCUGUGGCUGGCAGCAAAUGGAGGGCAUCUAGACGUUGUCCAACUGCUUGUGCAAGCCGGAGCCGAUGUGGAUGCUGCUGAUAACAGGAAAAUAACUCCUCUUAUGGCAGCCUUUCGCAAGGGUCAUGUAAAAGUUGUCCGCUACCUAGUAAAAGAAGUAAACCAGUUUCCAUCGGAUUCAGAAUGCAUGAGAUACAUAGCAACAAUUACGGAUAAGGAGAUGCUGAAGAAGUGCCACCUGUGUAUGGAAUCAAUUGUUCAAGCCAAAGAUAGACAGGCUGCCGAAGCCAACAAAAAUGCGAGCAUUCUUUUAGAGGAACUGGACUUGGAGAAGCUAAGGGAAGAAAGCAGGAGACUGGCUUUGGCUGCCAAAAGAGAGAAAAGAAAGGAGAAAAGGAGGAAGAAAAAAGAAGAACAAAGAAGAAAACUAGAAGAAAUAGAAGCUAAAAAUAAAGAGAAUUUUGAACUUCAAGCUGCUCAGGAGAAGGAGAAGCUAAAAGCUGAAGACGAUCCCGAGGUCCCCAUGGAGCCUCCUAGUGCGACCACUACAACCACCAUAGGUAUAUCUGCAACUUGGACGACAUUAGCAGGUUCCCAUGGGAAGAGGAAUAAUACCAUCACCACAACAAGCUCCAAAAGGAAAAACAGGAAAAACAAAGUAACCCCUGAUAACGUUCAGAUUAUAUUUGAUGAUCAACUCCCAAUUUCCUAUAGCCAACCAGAAAAAGUGAAUGGUGAAUCCAAGAGCAGCAGUACUAGUGAAAGUGGCGAUAGCGACAAUAUGAGGAUUUCCAGCUGUAGCGAUGAAAGCAGCAAUAGCAACAGCAGCCACAAAAGUGACAAUCAUUCUUCCACAGCCGUUACUAACACACAGAGCAACAAAAAGCAACCGUCGGUUCUUGUCACUUGUCCAAAGGAUGAGAGGAAAGCAGUUACUGGCAAAUCGUCCAUCAAGUUGUCUGAAGUUAUUAGUGAGGUGACGAGUAAUUCCUUGUCUACUUGCACGAAAUCUGGUCCUUCUCCCCUUUCUUCUCCAAAUGGAAAGCUAACCAUCGCUAGUCCUAAACGCGGUCAGAAAAGGGAAGAAGGAUGGAAGGAAGUUGUGAGAAGAUCCAAGAAGGUUUCUGUCCCAUCAACUGUAAUUUCCAGAGUCAUUGGCAGAGGAGGAUGUAACAUCAAUGCGAUACGCGAGUGCACGGGAGCGCACAUAGACAUUGACAAACAGAAGGACAAAACUGGAGAUCGAAUAAUAACGAUAAGGGGCGGCACAGAAUCAACAAGACAGGCCACGCAGUUGAUCAAUGCUCUGAUUAAGGAUCCAGAUAAGGAAAUUGAUGAACUUAUUCCAAAGAACCGUUUGAAAAGUUCGGCUGCCAACUCCAAAAUAGGGUCGUCGACACCUGCCACCACUACAGCUGCUAACAGUUCCCUCGUGGGCAUCAAAGUGACCACCGUAGCUGCUUCGUCAACAUCUCAGACUGCCUCCGCACUCACCGUGCCUGCAAUUUCUUCAGCAUCCACUCACAAAACCAUUAAGAACCCAGUGAACAACGUGCGGCCUGGUUUCCAAGUUUCUCUUCCAUUAGCAUAUCCUCCUCCGCAGUUUGCACACGCUUUACUCGCUGCUCAGACUUUCCAGCAAAUCCGUCCGCCUCGGUUGCCCAUGACACACUUUGGAGGUACUUUCCCACCAGCUCAGUCCACAUGGGGUCCGUUUCCUGUUAGGCCCUUGAGCCCCGCAAGAGCUACCAACUCACCGAAACCUCACAUGGUGCCUCGCCAUAAUAGCCAGAACAGCAGCGGUUCUCAGGUGAAUUCAGCAAGUUCUUUGACAACUAGUCCAACAGCUACAACAAGUUCAGUGGCUUCUACUGUGCCUGGUUCUUCUGCUAACGGCAGUCCAAGUUCACCUUCGGUCAGAAGACAGCUUUUCGUCACGGUCGUGAAGACAUCAAAUGCCACGACGACCACGGUGACGACCACGGCGAGUAACACGAGCACAGCGCCCACGAAUGCCACGUAUCCAAUUCCUACUGCCAAAGAACACUACCCUGCAUCUUCCCCCUCAUCUCCUUCUCCUCCUGCGCAGCCGGCGGGUGUUACCAGAAGCAGUCCUUCCGACUGCCCAGCAACCUCUCCGAAUAAAGGUGCACCUUCGUCUGAUCCGGAAGUGGGUAGUCCGCCAGCCGUGGAAACGAGCAGCUCGACGGGCAGUAGGCAGCCCAGUUCUGGUACCGGCAGCUCAUCUGUGCACCCUGCUCAUCAGCAGCCUCCGGGAGCUCCUCUGCAAGAGGCCAGACCCCCUCUUCAGCAACCUCAGGUUCCCGCACCAGACCCUCGAAUGGUUGUGCCUCCAAAUUUAGCAGCAACAAGCUCAUCUGCUCCUGUGGCAGGUCCAACAAAUGCCCCGAUGACCUAUCCCGUGUCGCAGACGUCGAUGGGGUCUUCUCAGCCUGCAGCGAAGAUGGAAACCCCGGCCAUCAGACCGCCUGUCCAUGGAACCGGCAGUGUCCAUAAGAAUCCAGCUCCUGUGCAAAACUCUUCUGUCGCAGUCCUCAACGUUAACCACAUCAAAAGGCCCCACAGCGUUCCUUCUUCAGUGCAGCUUCCUUCUACCUUAAGUACACAAAGUGCUUCUCAGAAUUCAGCCCAUCCAGCAAACAAGUCUAUGGGUAACAAUUUCAGUGCUACUUUACCAUUCGGGCCCUUUAGUACGUUGUUUGAAAACAGUCCUACGUCUGCUCAUGCCUUCUGGGGUGGUUCCGUCGUUUCAUCUCAGACAACGCCAGAAUCUAUGCUGUCAGGAAAGUCUUCGUUUUUGCCAAAUUCAGAUCCCUUACAUCAGUCUGAUACUUCCAAAGCCCCAGGUUUUAGGCCACCGUUACAGAGGCCAGCUCCAAGUCCCUCAGGUAUUGUCAGUAUGGAUUCACCCUAUGCUUCUGUAACACCUUCUUCUACACACCUGGGUAAUUUUGCCUCGAACCUUUCGGGAGGUCAGAUAUACGCGCCUGGGACACCUCUUGGCGGAGCGCCUGCAGCUGCUAAUUUUAACAGACAGCAUUUCUCCCCACUUAGUUUAUUGCCUCCAUGUUCAUCAGCAUCAAAUGAAUCUCCUGCUCAGUCGGUGUCUUCGGGAGUAAGAGCACCAUCUCCCACCCCUUCAGCAGUGUCCUUGGGAUCAGAAAAACCCAGCAACGUUUCUCAGGACAGAAAAGUUCCUGUUCCGAUUGGGACUGAACGGUCUGCACGUAUCAGACAAACUGGAACUUCUACUCCAUCAGUUAUCGGAAGCAACUUAGCUGCUCCAGUGGGACACAGUGGGAUCUGGUCCUUCGAAGGUAUAGGGGGCAGUCAAGGUAUGUGGUGUUACUGGAUGUCUCUGUGCUUGCGUUGGACCACAAUAUUGUGUUUUCCCAACUUGGUUUGGAGCUGAAGGAUGAUGCAGAAGUGACUGCCUCAAAAUGUAGGAGUGCUCUUUCCGAAGAGUUGGGACUUCUGUUUGCUCUCCUGUCUGCUUAAUUGUGUUGUAACAAGGCCUCAGAAAACCUCAGGGGUUCUGAAACACCCUGGCUCUGAAGAUCUGUUGUUCAAAUUAAGAAAUAAUAGGGAAAAUAAAACCACAGGGUUUACUGAGUGAGGAUCGUUUGAUUUAGGAGGAGGGAAAAUGAAUAUGUCUCAAGAUAACUGGGUUUUUUCUUUCUGCUGAUAAACAGAUCAUUUUGUACAAUAGGAGUUAAGUAUUGACUUGAAGUCAUAGCCAAGAGGGAGCUUUUUGUGCUGAGGAUCAUGCAAUUUAUGUUUCUACGAGUUGGAGUUUUCUUUGGUUUUUUCUACUCAUGCCAUUUGCAUUUUACGAAUGCAAGGCUCUUGGUUCUGCUGUGUCAGAAUUCAAUCCUUCAGAAAUCAUUAAAAGCGUAGGUUACUGAUGCGAUAGCUUUUCUGAGUGAUCACUUCAGGAGUCCUGGAUGCAAUUUCUAGGAGACCGCGGAAUUUUGGAGGGAUCGGUUUGUUUGUCUUUUUGGGUAUUUUUUUUUUUUUUUUUUUUUUUUUUUUUUGCUGGGAAUGAAAGGGAAGGGAUCAUGAGAUGUUGUUGGGUGGCACCUCUGGAGGUCAUCUCCGCCUCCUGCACAAAACAGGAUUUGCUCUGAUGUUGAACCAGGUUGCUCAGGGCUUUAUCCAGUCCAAUCUUCAAAACCUCCAAGGAUGGAAACUGCUCAGCCUCCCUGAGCAAGCCCUUCCCCUGCUUGACUGAGGAGUCCAAACAGCCUAAGGUUUUAAUAGAUGGACUGUGCACACGCUUUGCAUGCGAUGAGCGUACUGUCCUGGCUCUUCCCCCCAGAUACAACAUAGGUAGGAUGUAUCCAAACCCCUUUUUACUUCACUAAUGGUCUUUUGUCCGUCUGCGUAGUGAGAGGGUAUUCGUCGUUAGGGCUUUAGAGACUCAAUGUUUUAUUUGCCUUGUCUAGGUCUAAAAGUUGCCCAUUAUGUCUUUGUUUUCAGAAUGUGGCUCUUUACUUAGUUCCAUUACUUCAACAUUUUGAUUUUCAGUUCAGAAUGGGAUUGGCUCUUCUCUUCUUGAGUAUUAGGAUGGCUUCAGAAAUGUUUCUGUAUUCCUUCUCCACCCCUCCAAAUAUAAUUUGCUUAUCUUCUGUUUAGAAAAAUUGGCUUUCUGGAUGUCAGAGGUUUGAACUGUAGUAACUGUAAUAACACCACCUCCAAUUAAUUCAUAUCAUUGGAAUGUGAGCACGUGUCUCCAGACGGUCAUUUUCUGGUUUUGCCUUUCAAAAGUACCUCCAUGUCUCUUCGUUUGUUAAAUAAUUGAUGAAAGAAUGGCAAUGAAGCGGAGCAAACAGCCUUAAUAGCGUACAUACCCCUUUCACAGCACCAAAUGCACGAGGAAUUGGGGUUUUUGGAGGAGGAGGAGUUAGCACCAGUGCUAGAUUUCCCUUUUAGAUGAGGGAAAAUUGCGGCGGUGAUGCUUUGGUUGCAUGUAAUUGUUCAAAAUGCCUUGCGCUGGCUCAGGGGUCCUGCUGUGGAGUAACUCUCUGCGCAGCUGCAAGCUGAGCACAUGCCACCUUUAGAAAUGUUCCAGGGUGCAGAGAUUCAGGAUGGGAAAAGGGAUGGCGAGCGGGUGUCAUGUAUAACGCUGUUGCCCUGUCUUCUGUGCUGUCAGAUAAAGUGGACUGGUGUCACAGCGGCAUGGGGAGCCACAUGAUCCACAGGCCCAUGUCUGAUCCAGGGGUGUUCUCGCACCAAGCCAUGGAGA